GAUGAACGCUGGCGGCGUGCUUAACACAUGCAAGUCGAACGAUGAGGCCCAGCUUGCUGGGUGGAUUAGUGGCGAACGGGUGUGUAACACGUGUGUAACCUGCCCUUCACUCUGGGAUAAGCCUGGGAAACUGGGUCUAAUACCGGAUAUGAGCGUGCACCGCAUGGUGGGUGUUGGAAAGAUUUAUCGGUUUUGGAUGGACUCGCGGCCUAUCAGCUUGUUGGGGAGGUUAUGGCUCACCAAGGCGACGACGGGUAGCCGGCCUGAGAGGGUGACCGGCCACACUGGGACUGAGACACGGCCCGGACUCCUACGGGAGGCAGCAGUGGGGAAUAUUGCACAAUGGGCGCAAGCCUGAUGCAGCGACGCCGCGUGGGGGAUGACGGCCUUCGGGUGGUAAACCUCUUUCAGUAGGGAAGAAGUGAAAGUGACGGUACCUGCAGAAGAAGCACCGGCUAACUACGUG
rnacentral:rRNA from 1 species